UCCUACGGGAGGCAGCAGUGGGGAAUAUUGGACAAUGGGGGAAACCCUGAUCCAGCAAUGCCGCGUGUGUGAAGAAGGCCUUCGGGUUGUAAAGCACUUUCAGUAGGGAGGAAAAGCUUGAUGCUUAAUACCUUUGAGUCUUGACGUUACCUACAGA
rnacentral:rRNA from 1 species